rnacentral:rRNA from 1 species
GACAGAGGGUGCAAACGUUGUUCGGAUUUACUGGGCGUAAAGGGCGCGUAGGCGGCCUCUGCAAGUCGACUGUGAAAUCUCCGGGCUUAACCCGGAAAGGUCAGCCGAUACUGCAGGGCUAGAGUGCAGAAGGGGCAACUGGAAUUCUCGGUGUAGCGGUGAAAUGCGUAGAUAUCGAGAGGAACACCUGCGGCGAAGGCGGGUUGCUGGGCUGACACUGACGCUGACAGCGCGAAAGCUAGGGGAGCGAACGGG